ensembl:lncRNA
GAGCAAAGUACAGCACAACAUAGUAGGUUUUGUAAUAGCGUGCCUCUAAAUGCCAGGUAUUUCAGAUGUCAGGGAAAACAGCAGUUGACAGCUAUCCGCCAUGCCUGCAACACACCGGGCUUUUGCUCUCAUCUCUCUGCUGUCCUUCAGCGCAGCAGCACCAACAGUAGACGACUGCAAUCAGCUGACCCAGCCUCUGCAAGCUAACGAGCUUCACCAGUUUCAUAAGAAAACAGUUGCAGUGACAUACAGAGAUCCUGGGUAGGUGGAUCUUUAUUCAGGGGCUUGCCAGUAACGGUAGCUUGGGAGACAGUUUGAGGUUUGUGGAAAGUACGUGGAUGGUGCUGAAUACAACAUCAGACAGUCGGACCCUGCAGGCAGAGAUAGCUGGCCGAGUGGUUCAACAGCUGGACGAGUCUGUUCAGCCACAAGUUCCAAAGAUGGAGGACGCCUCCAUCCCGACCAAUUCCCAGGGACCUGAGCUUUCUUCAAACCCUAGCUCCCACCCUGUCAGCAGUUCCACACCCCAUCUGGUCAUGAAGGAGGAUCGCUGCCUCAGGAAUGUUCAGAACAUGUCCCUAGUUGAUGGCAAAGACUUAGAGUUCUACAUGAAAAUUGCCAGUUCCUAUCACAGGUUCCUGCAGACCUGCCCUGACUGUCUGCUCAUGCAUACCUACUAUAAAGUAGCCAGUCACCAAAUGUUCUACUUGUUUGGGAGGAACAAGACCGUGACAGCUUCUGAUUUAGAGACCUUCAGAAAACAAGGUGAAUGCCUCAGGUUUCCCACGACACCAAAGUUUAACUACGACCCUAACAAUGAACUGUGUCCUGUGGAGGAAAAGAAGUCAGAAUCCACACCUCAACAAAACCUCCACUAACAGAGUUCUUAAUAACACUGCCACUGCUAUCGUCAAACUUACGCUGUUGAUUGGUUUUUACUCAUGAUUUAAUUGAGAGAAAUUUGAGAAGUUUGAAUGUCCAAACUGUUAAGUGCUUUUCUAAAAAAUUUUGGUUCAGGUUUUGACCCGCCUACUAGACUCUAUGUGAUUCCUGAUAGCUUAGCCAACAUGAAUGGGACAGGAAAUUUAUGUUUACUUCAGUGUCAUAUCCAUCCAUCCACCCAUCCGAAGCUUAGAUGGUCAGCUUGAUAUCUAAAAAACUGAGUUAAUUAUAAACAAGUGUUUAUCUUGGUAGAUUUUAUGCACAGAUUAAAGUUUUUUUUUAAAAAGGCAUUUAAUGCUAUUUUAACCCAAAUUUACACCAUUAGUCAACUGCAUAAACCACUUUCAUAAGGGAGGAAUGGUUUGCACACUUGAUCAAUGCUCACCCAUUGGCUGGGAGCCAGAGAGGGAUCUGCCUGAGAAAUUGAUCAAGUGAUUGUAUGACUAGCUACAGUUAUAUAGCAGUAACCUGACAAUCAAGCUGAAAGCAUAUGCUGCUUUACUGUCCAUUUAGACUGUAAUGGGUUAUUUUGUUAUACAUCACAAAAUAACCAUGACGUAAACUGUCUUCACUAAUACCUGAAACCAGAAAAUCAAAUAAUAAACUCCAAAUAAAUGAUAAAAUCUGAAAAGUGUUUCUGACAUCAGUGGUCAUGGAAGCCAAAGGCAAGACAACUGGCCGUUUCUUUGGAACGACAGCAGUUGCACCACAUUGGUCAUUACAAAUACUUCAAAUUUAUACAUGAUUUUUUCCUGAUAUUCUAACCAUGUGUUUGGUCAAAAUAUUUUGAGACAAGAAUCUGUCAGAACUUUUGUAAUUAUAUUUCUCUCUUAUUGUGUUUUGUUUCACCAGUGCAUGUGUGAUUUUUUUCCCCCUGUGCAUUUCCAAACCGAUGGUUAAAGUGGCCGGUAUUGUCAACUAACUCUUCUGGCUCUCUUGCUUCUUUCGUGUUUGGCAUUUUUUACCAUUAUUUUUUAAAAAUAUCAAGAGCUAAUAGAAAUCAGAUGAGUAAACAGCAGAGAGCAAUCAGGAUCAUCUGUUUAUCAAGACACUGGAUCAUCCUCCAAAUUAAGGCCGUUACUGGUGCCGACUGCAGCCCCAUCGUAUUCAAAGGCCUCGUCUCUUUGAACGCCACAGAACUGACCGUUUGGACUUUGCAAGAGAGAAAGAAAGUUUUAUUCUCUGAUGAGAAAAAAUGUAACCUUGAUGGUCCUGAUGGUUUCCAAUGUUACUGGCAUGACAAGUAGAUAUUUUCUAUGCUCCACAGUGGAGGGGGCACCAUAAUGGUCUGGGGUGCUUUUUCCUUCAGUGGAACAAUAAAGUUAAAGGAGGUGCAGGGGCGUCAAACAGCUGCUGGCUAUGUCCAGAUGUUGCAGAGAGCAUCCGUUAUGACUGAGGGCCCUCGUCUGCGUGGUAACGACUGGAUGUUUUUUUUAACAGGACAACGCUACACAGUGUUGGGAAGGUUACUUUUAAAAUGUACUCCACUACAGAUCACAGAAUACAUGGCCCAAAAUAUAUUUUAUAACGUAUUCCGUUAGUUACUCAAUGAGAGUAACGUAUUCUAAAUACUUUGGAUUACUUAAUAUAUUGUCAUGCUUUUUACAACUACUUUUUUCUUAAAUAAAUCUACUACAUCAUG